CGCCUCUUGAAGCUCAUAAGAGGUCCCGCCUGCCCACUGAUAAAUUUAACGGCCGCGGUAUUCUGACCGUGCGAAGGUAGCACAAUCACUUGUUCUCUAAAUAAGGACUAGUAUGAACGGCAUCACGAGGACUUUACUGUCUCCCUCUUCCUAUUAGUGAAACUGAUCUCCCCGUGAAAAAGCGAGGAUAAAAAUAUAAGACGAGAAGACCCCAUGGAGCUUUAAACUUAAUCUAAUUGUUUCCUUUAUUUUCAUAAGAAAAAACAGCCCUAGAUUCUUAGUUUUUGGUUGGGGCAACCGCGGAGUACAAUUUAUCCUCCGCAAUGAAUGAAACUACCUCCUAAACCUAGAACACCCAUUCUCAGCAUCAACAAAUUGAUAUCUAUUGACCCAUCACAUUUUGCUUGACCAAUGAACCAAGUUACCCUGGGGAUAACAGCGCAAUCCAUUAUUAGAGUCCCCAUCGACUAAUGGGUUUACGACCUCGAUGUUGGAUCAGGGUAUCCAAGUGGUGCAGCCGCUACUAAAGGUUCGUUUGUUCAACGAUUAAAAC
rnacentral:rRNA from 1 species